GAUGAACGCUGGCGGCGUGCCUAACACAUGCAAGUCGAACGAAUCGACGCUGAUUUUGCCCCUCUGACGUUAUCGCCAGCCGGGUGAGAACAACGUGGUAAACCUCCCUUCACGUCUGGGAAACCUUCGGAAAACGGGAGUUAAUCCCGGUUAAUUUAUUGUACCGCAUGGUUUAAUUGUGAAAGACGGUUUUGUUGUCACUUUUAGAUGGAUCCGGGCCGUCUUCGCAUGUUGGUAGGGUAACGGCUUACGCAGGCGACGGUGCGUAGCCGACCUGAGCGGGGGGUCGGCCACACUGGAAGUGAGACACGGUCCAGACUCCUACGGGAGGCAGCAGUAGGGAAUGUUCCGCAAUGGGCGGAAGCCUGAUGGAGCAACGCCGCGGGAGUGAGGAUGGUCUUCGGAUCGUAGAACACUGUUAUUAGGGAAGAACAAAGUUGUAAGUAACGAUGCACGUCUUGACGGUACCGAAUCAGAAAGCGACGGCUAACUACGUG
rnacentral:rRNA from 1 species